AACGCUGGCGGCAUGCCUUACACAUGCAAGUCGAACGGCAGCACGGGAGCAAUCCUGGUGGCGAGUGGCGAACGGGUGAGUAAUAUAUCGGAACGUGCCCAGUCGUGGGGGAUAACGCAGCGAAAGCUGUGCUAAUACCGCAUACGAUCUACGGAUGAAAGCGGGGGAUCGCAAGACCUCGCGCGAUUGGAGCGGCCGAUAUCAGAUUAGGUUGUUGGUGGGGUAAAAGCCCACCAAGCCGACGAUCUGUAGCUGGUCUGAGAGGACGACCAGCCACACUGGAACUGAGACACGGUCCAGACUCCUACGGGAGGCAGCAGUGGGGAAUUUUGGACAAUGGGCGCAAGCCUGAUCCAGCAAUGCCGCGUGCAGGAUGAAGGCCUUCGGGUUGUAAACUGCUUUUGUACGGAACGAAACGGUCUGCUCUAAUACAGCGGGCUAAUGACGGUACCGUAAGAAUAAGCACCGGCUAACUACGUGCCAGCAGCCGCGGUAAUACGUAGGGUGCGAGCGUUAAUCGGAAUUACUGGGCGUAAAGCGUGCGCAGGCGGUUAUAUAAGACAGAUGUGAAAUCCCCGGGCUCAACCUGGGACCUGCAUUUGUGACUGUAU
rnacentral:rRNA from 1 species